UUGACAGCAUUGGAAAGAGAUGGCUUCUCUUUCUCCCAAGAACAGACGCAGCCCGAUAAACAGAAGUGUAGGAUUUCCCCAACUGCUUCACCAGUAUGCCUUCGCCCUGACAAAAUCAUGGCUGCGAGAGAGAAAGGACAAGUCCCCUUUCCCAGCCAGUUCUCUGCUGACACUGCU
ensembl:misc_RNA